CCUACAACAGAGACCAUGCUUGGGAUGACCAUUGGAUUUUCUGGGUGGGGCCGUUCAUUGGAGCUGCCCUUGCUGCAAUGUACCACGUGAUAGUCAUCAGGGCUAUCCCAUUCAAGAGCAGGCCAUGAUUAUUUCCUACCCAAUAAUCUUAUUAUUAAUGUGUGGCUUUUUGUUAAUUCUGGAUCCUUUUGUAUCCACUAGCUCCUCUGGUGUAAUCAAGUACUUUGAUAUUCAUCAAGCGUGUAAAUUAAGUAUUGAUGUACCUACUCCCAAGUUUGCUGAUGCUUCAAGCGAGAGGGACCGUAUGGUGUGCUUCAAGUUUUAAUGUUUUUGCGUGUAAAUAAAUUGAGUCAUGAUGUGUACUUUGAUUAUUCAAAGCUUGCUGAUGCUUUCUAGUUAGAUGGAUAUGCUUCUUUUCUGUUUUAA